rnacentral:rRNA from 1 species
GACGAACGCUGGCGGCGUGCUUAACACAUGCAAGUCGAACGGAAAGGCCCUGCUUUUGUGGGGUGCUCGAGUGGCGAACGGGUGAGUAACACGUGAGUAACCUACCCUUGACUUUGGGAUAACUUCAGGAAACUGGGGCUAAUACCGGAUAGGAGCUCCUGCUGCAUGGUGGGGGUUGGAAAGUUUCGGCGGUUGGGGAUGGACUCGCGGCUUAUCAGCUUGUUGGUGGGGUAGUGGCUUACCGAGGCUUUGACGGGUAGCCGGCCUGAGAGGGUGACCGGCGACAUUGGGACUGAGAUACGGCCCAGACUCGUACGGGGGGCAGCGGGGGGGAGUAUUGCGCAAUGGGCGGGAGCGUGAUGCGGCAACGCCGCGUGCGGGAUGACGGCCUUCGGGUUGUAAACCGCUUUCGCCUGUGACGAAGCGUGAGUGACGGUAAUGGGUAAAGAAGCACCGGCUAACUACGUG